rnacentral:rRNA from 1 species
GAUGAACGCUAGCGGCAGGCUUAACACAUGCAAGUCGAGGGGUAGAGGCUUUCGGGUCUUGAGACCGGCGCACGGGUGCGUAACGCGUAUGCAAUCUGCCUUGUACUGGGGGAUAGCCCAGAGAAAUUUGGAUUAAUACCCCAUAGUAUUUUCGGUUGGCAUCAACUGAUUAUUAAAGUUUUUCGGUACAAGAUGAGCAUGCGUCCCAUUAGCUAGUUGGUAUGGUAACGGCAUACCAAGGCUACGAUGGGUAGGGGUCCUGAGAGGGAGAUCCCCCACACUGGUACUGAGACACGGACCAGACUCCUACGGGAGGCAGCAGUGAGGAAUAUUGGUCAAUGGUCGCAAGACUGAACCAGCCAUGCCGCGUGCAGGAUGAAGCAUCUAUGGUGUGUAAACUGCUUUUGUACGGGAAGAAGCACUCCUACGAGUAGGGGCUUGACGGUACCGUAAGAAUAAGGAUCGGCUAACUCCGUGCCAGCCGCCGCUGUAACAC